rnacentral:rRNA from 1 species
UACGUAGGGUGCAAGCGUUGUCCGGAAUUAUUGGGCGUAAAGAGCUCGUAGGCGGUCUGUCACGUCGGAUGUGAAAACUCGGGGCUCAACCCCGAGCCUGCAUACGAUACGGGCAGACUUGAGUUCGGCAGGGGAGACUGGAAUUCAUGGUGUAGCAGUGAAAUGCGUAGAGAUCAUGAGGAAGACCAGUGGCGAAGGCGGGUCUCUGGACAGUUCCUGACACUGAGGCACGAAGGCCAGGGGAGCAAACGGG